UGGGGAAUUUUGGACAAUGGGCGCAAGCCUGAUCCAGCCAUACCGCGUGAAGGAUGAAGUAUUUCGGUAUGUAAACUUCGAAAGAAUAGGAAGAAUAAAUGACGGUACUAUUUAUAAGGUCCGGCUAACUACGUGCCAGCAGCCGCGGUAAUACGUAGGGACCAAGCGUUGUUCGGAUUUACUGGGCGUAAAGGGCGCGUAGGCGGCAAUUCAAGUCAUCUGUGAAAUCUCCGGGCUUAACUCGGAACGGUCAGAUGAUACUGCUUUGCUAGAGUGCAGAAGGGGCAAUCGGAAUUCUUGGUGUAGCGGUGAAAUGCGUAGAUAUCAAGAGGAACACCUGAGGUGAAGACGGGUUGCUGGGCUGACACUGACGCUGAGGCGCGAAAGCCAGGGGAGCAAACGGGAUUAGAUACCCGAGUAGUCCCUGAGCGGGCUGGCAAGGCGCAU
rnacentral:rRNA from 1 species